AAAGCGUGCGCAGGCGGUUAUGUAAGACAGAUGUGAAAUCCCCGGGCUCAACCUGGGAAUGGCGAUGAAGACUGCAAGGCUAGAAUCUGGCAGAGGGGGGUAGAAUUCCACGUGUAGCAGUGAAAUGCGUAGAGAUGUGGAGGAACACCGAUGGCGAAGGCAGCCCCCUGGGUCAAGAUUGACGCUCAUGCACGAAAGCGUGGGGAGCAAACAGGAUUAGAUACCCUUGU
rnacentral:rRNA from 1 species